rnacentral:lncRNA from 10 species
UUGAUUUUUCCUGUGAAAAAUUGUUUUAAGCCUUUUAUCUCUACUAAGGUGAAUUUUAGUACAUUGCAUUUUUCAAGGAUGCUAUCCAAUUAUUUAAUUUUUCAAAUAUAUUUGUAUAGAGUCAAACAAAAUAGUCUGUAAGAAUCUUUUAAAAUUUACUUUGUUUCAAGGUUAUUUCCCCCAUAACAUUUUUAAAUUCAUAUAUCUGUGCUUUCUCCUUUUUUUUCUGAGUUAGAUUAGGUGGUAGUUUAUCUAGUUUAUUAAUUUUUCCUCAAGAACAAGCAUUUUGAUUGAUUUAUCAAUUUUGUUAUAUUUUUGCUUGCUGUUUUAUUAAUUUCUACUUCUAUAUUUUAAAAAAUUUUUCUUCUGCUUCCCCCAUCCCCUACCUACUUUUCUGAGUUGGGAAUUUAAUUCAUUUAUUUUUAUUUAUCUAAGUAUCAUAAGUAUGUAGAGCUAUGUAUUUUCCUAUAGUCACUGUUUUAAUUGUAUCUCAUAAAUGUCUUAGGAAGAGUUCAUGAAUAUUUUCUGAGUUUCCAUCUGUAUCAAACUGUUUCCCUAUAGGCUUGGUACUUUAAAAACAGUCUGCCUACAUAUAACACUCUGGGCUCAUAUUUUCCUUUUUUGAGUUUCUUAAAACUGUUCUUGCACAGUUUUCUUGCUUUGUAUGCUGUUUUAUGAUCUUAUUUCCUUUGUAAGUGAUUUGGCCUUUUUUGCUUGGAUGCCCAGAAGAUUGCUUGUAUAUAUUUAAUGUCUAAUAGGCCUAUUAUACUGUGUCUUAGAUGUAUGUCUAUAUAUUACAAUUGACCAUUCUGGGUUAGUCUUCUUAGGUACACAAAUAUAUCCAAGUUUUCUUUUAUUUAUACAAAGUUUUAUUGGAUUGUGGUUUAAUAUGUGAUUAAAUAUGUGAUUUCUCUCAUUUCAUUGUUUUUGUUUUUCUUGCCAGAAACCCAAAUGAUAAUGCCCAGUCUUCUUUCUCUCUGAUGGUUUUCACCUUAUUUAUUUUGUUUUCAUUUUCUUGGAAUUUUUCAUAUAUUUUUAAACUUCUGCUUUGAGAGAAAUCAAUUUUCUCUUGAGUACUUUGAAAUUAUUCUUCCUACAUAAGAUGUUUUUGCCUUUUUCUUUAAUUUCCCUCCUGGGGACUAUCUUUUUUUCGUAUAUUACUUUAUUUAAUUCUGCUUUUCUGAUUUAACAUUUUUUCUUUUUGCAAAAUAUUUGUUUAAAAUAUUUAAUUCAAGAUGGGGUGUUAUGUUACAGAUUGUUUUCAGAGCCUCCAGUUAAAUUGGGGUUCCAGCACCUGUGUGGAUAGCUAAGGGGAAAUGAAGGGGAGCUGGAUAUGGUUGUUUACAAGGUGUCUUUCACGGGACACAUCUUUUACCUGGCAGACAGCCUAGUGUCUAGUUGUCUAACCUGUGACCAGGAAGAUUUCUCACACAGGAAACUUGUUUAUACUGGCAGAUGCCCUUUUGGCUCUUGUCUGACCUGUGUUCAGUUUAUGCCUGCCUGACCAUUGCUCUGGUUCUGGGAGCUCAACUUUGUGCUUCCCCGUCCCAUGUCAGGGAAAGAUAGGCCUGGCGUAGCCCCUGAUUCUUCAGAUGGAAGGUGGGAAUUCAAUACUCCAGCACAAAAGGAAACAAUUAAAAGAUUGUACUUACAAAUCUUGGGCAAGGAAGGUGGGAUGGCAGUCCUCUGUCCUAGGGUCAUGUGAGGCAGAAAUGAAGGAGUCAGGCAGAGAGACAGGGCAUGUGGCAAAUAGUUGUAUGUAUAAGGGAAUACAGUGUGGGUUAUUUUAAGUUCUUAGGCAAAUAUCUGACAGAUUCACUUAAAAGGAAACAGCGGAAGAGUGGGUAGUCCUAUUGAGAGACAGGACUAGCUGGAUUUCCUAAGUCGACUAAGAAUUCCUAAGCCCAGCUGGGGAAGGUUACCACACCCACCUUUAAACGCGGGGCUUGUAACUCAGCUCACACCGGACCCAUCAGGUAGUAAAUAGUGCUCACUAAAAUACCAAUUAGGGUAAAAGCAGGAGGUAAAGAAAUAGUCAAAUCAUCUACUGCCUGAGAGCACCGGGGAGAGACAAUGAUCGGAAAAUAAAUCCAGGCCUUUGUGCCAGCAGGGGCAACCCCCUCUGGGUCCCCUCCCAUUGUAUGUGAGCUCUGUUUUCAUUCUAUUAAAUCUUGCAACUGCACAUUCUUCUGGUCCGUGUUUCUGCCGGCUCAAACUGAGCUUUCGCUCUCCAUCCACCAUGGCUGAACGCCACAGUCGCAGACCUGCCGUUGACUUUCAUCCCUCUGGAUUUGGCAGGGUGUCCACUGAGCUUCUGAUUCAGCGAGGUGCUCAUUGCUGCUCCCAAUCAGGCUAGAGGCUCGCCAUUGUUCCUGCACCGGGAAGUGCCCGGGUUCAUCCUAAUUAGGCUGAACACUAGUCUCUGGGUUCCAUGGUUCUCUUCCGUGACCCACAGCUUCUAAUAGAGCUAUAACACUUACCGCAUGGCCCAAGGUUCCAUUCCUUGGAAUCCCUGAGGCCAAGAACCCCACGUCAGAGAACAAAAGGCUUGCUGCCAUCUUGGGAGCAGCCGGCCCCAUCUUGGGAGUGGCCCACCACCAUCUUGGGAGCUCUAAGAACAAAGACCUGCUGGUAACACUAUCUCUGGCCACCUAUCUCUGGCCUAUCUAUCUCUGGUUCCUAUCUCUGGCCAUGGCUUGAGCCAUUUGGGUGCAGUGAACAGGAAACUGUAAAGAGUGACAGCCCUGCUUCUACAAAAUGGAUGCCAAGUUGUUCCUGCGCGCUCACUCUCUCUCCUGCCACCUUGUGAUGAAGAUGCCUGCUUCCUCUUCUGUCAUGAUUGUAAGUUUCCUGAGGCCUCCCCAGCCAUGUGCAAAUGUUACACCUCCUCCCUCCUUAAAUAGCACUUAGUGUAAUUGAUGCCAAGUUAAUCCCUGUGCUGCCAAGAGAAGUGUCCAUGGGGUAGGAACCGCAUGCUGUUUUACCUGUGCUUAAAGAGGAAAGUGUCACGCGUCUCUGAAGAAACAAUGUUGACUGAAAAAUAGCGCCAAGUCUCAAACAAGAUCUUUGUGAAAAAUAAAGCAUGAAGCACAAAAUGAGAGAAUGACUAAAACUGAGGCUUAGUUAUGCAAGUUGUCUCCAGUCACACAACUGAAGACUUUUUUAAAUAGCCAGAAGUGGUGAAUUUGACAGUAAAGGACAAGAAGAGAAAGUUCUCAGACCUGAACAGGAAAAAAUGGUGCCUGGACACUACAAACAAUCUUCAUGUGCACUGAUCGGACAAUAAGUGAAUGGGUAAAUUUCUUUUCUCUAUCCCAUAUUCUGAAUCUUCAUCAUUAAAUCACUGUAACUUUUGUAAUAUAAUAUUUAGUAAAAUUGUGUAUGCAGACAAGGACCCAACACACCCUAGAAAAGGCCCUGCAUUAGGGAACUGGGCUAUGGAAAGCAUUAUGUAUCUGUUUCUGCACUGUGUGGCUAUAUAAACUCUGACAAGAUUUUGUGACAUUGGCUCAAUACAUAAGGAACUUAAAUCUAAUGGCAGAUGAGUACAUGCUCUUUCUGUCAAUCCACAGACCACCUGAAAUGUUGCAUAAACUAGCGUCUCUUUUUAUUUAAUCAAUUUUAUUUUUUAGUGGUUUUAAGUUCACAGAAAAGUUCAGUGGAAAGUACAAAUAAUUCCCACAUAUUCCCUGCCCCCAUGCCACAACCUCCACAACUAUGAACAUACUUGCACCACAGUGGCACAUUUGUUACCAGUGAUGCACCUUCUCACACAUCAUCACCUAAAGUUUAUAGUUUACAUUAGAGUUCACUCUUGGUGUUGUAACAAACGGAUUUUAACAAAUGGAUCAUGACACGAUCUACUCUUGUAGUAUCACACAGAAUAAUUUAACUGGCCUGAAAAUCUCCUGUGUUCCACCAUCCUCCCUAGCCACCCAACCUAUAGCAAUAAUUUAUCUUUUUCCAGUCUCUAUUGUUUUGCCUUUUCCACAGUAUCAUAUAGUGGAAAUCAUUCAGUAUGUAGCUUUUUCAGAUCUUUCACUCUGUAAUAUGCAUUUAACGUUACCCCAUGUCUUUUCAUGACUUGAUGGUUUAUUCCUUUUUAGCACUAAAUAAUAUUCCAUUGUCUGAAUAUAUUAGUUCAUUUAUUCAUUUGCAUAUUGGUUACUUCCAAGUUUUGGAAAUUAUGAAUUGAGCUGCUAUAAACAUUCAUGUGCAAGUUUUGUAUGAACAUAAGUUUUCACAUCAUAUGGGUAAAUAUUAAGGAGUGUGAUUUGCUAGGUUAUACGGUAAGAGUAUGCUUAAUUGUUGUUUUUAUGUAAAGAUGGAGUCUUGCUCUGUCACCCAGGCUGGAGAGUAGUGGUACAAUCAUGGUUCACUGCAGUCUCAAACGCCUGAGUUCAAGCGAUCCUCCUCCCUCAGCCUCCCAAGUAGCUGGGACUACAGGCACACACCACCAUGCCUGGCUAAUUUUUUCAAUUUAUUUUUUGUAGAGACAGGGUAUUGCUAUAUUUCCCAGGCUCGUCUCAAAUUCCUGGUGUCAAAUGAUCCUCCCACAGUGUUGGGAUUACAGGUGUGAGGUAUAUGCUUAGUUUUUUAAGAAACUGCCAAACUGUCUCCCAAAGCAUCUAUACCAUUUUGUAUUCCCACCAGUAAUGAAUGAGAGUCUCAGCUGCUCCAUGUCCUCAACAGGAUUUGGUAUUUCUUUAAAAAAGUAAUUAACAAAAUAUCUGUAUUUGAAAAGUGUCUUAAAUAAUACUGUACAUAUGUUUGGUGACUAAUAUAUAUGUACUGAAUAAAACUAUAAUACUCUAACUGAUGGAUACACAGCAUAUAUUAUUCUUGUAUCUUUUCCUAGAAAGCCUUGGGCUACUCUAAAUCUGUAAUACGUAUUUCAACUUCUCUACUUACAUGUACUAUAUUAUAGCAAUUUCUAUUGAGUUAUAAUCCAUAUUCACUCUCCUGAUUUGCUAAAGUCACAGAGGCUUUCAUCCCUAGUUUCUAAAGUGCUAAUACUAGUUUUUUCAGGCUUGUUUUUAACUUUUAUUUUAAGUUCAGGGGUACAUAUGCAGGUUUGUUACAUAGGUUAAUUGUGUAUCAUGGGGAUCUAAUGUACAGAUUAUUUCAUCACCCAGGUAAUAGGCAUAGUAUCCAAUAGGUAGGAGUUGAUUUUUUGUAUAACGUGUAAGGAAGAGGUCCAGUUUCGAUUUUCUGUAUAUGGCUAGCCAUUUACCCUAGCAUCAUUUAUUGAAUACAGAGUCCUUUCCUCAUUGCUUGUUUUUUGUUGACUUUGUCAAAGAUCAGAUGAUGUUAGCUGUACAGCUUUAUUUUUGGGCUCUCCAUUCUGUCGUAUUGGUCUAUUAUCUGUUUUUGUACCAGUACUAUGCUGUUUUGGUUACUGUAGCCUUGUAAUAACAGUUUGAAGUUGGGUUAACAUGAUGCCUCUAGCUUUGUUCUUUUUGUUUAUGAUUGCCUUGGCUAUUCAAACUCUUUUUUGGUUCCAUAUGAAUUUUAAAAUAGUUUUUCCUAAUUCUAAUUCCUUCCCAAUUCAAGCAGUUUCCCAGCUUCCCUGUCACAUCCUUGGGUAAUUUCCCACUGCCACUCACCGCAUACUAGACAUAAUUAAAUAUUUUAAUGUGCACUCACUGUUUUUUUUAUGGAGUACAGAGUAUA